rnacentral:rRNA from 1 species
AGAGUUUGAUCAUGGCUCAGAAUCAACGCUGGCGGCGUGCCUAACACAUGCAAGUCGAACGCGAAAGUCCCGCAAGGGAUGAGUAGAGUGGCAAACGGGUGAGUAACACGUGGGUGACCUGCCGUCGAGUGGGGGAUAACGUCCCGAAAGGGACGCUAAUACCGCAUGACAUCCUGCCUUUGAAGAGGCGGAGAUCAAAGCCGGGGAUCGCAAGACCUGGCGCUUGAUGAGGGGCCCGCGCCUGAUUAGCUAGUUGGUGGGGUAAUGGCUCACCAAGGCAACGAUCAGUAUCCGGCCUGAGAGGGCGGACGGACACACUGGGACUGAGACACGGCCCAGACUCCUACGGGAGGCAGCAGUGGGGAAUUGUUCGCAAUGGGCGCAAGCCUGACGACGCAACGCCGCGUGGAGGAUGAAGACCUUCGGGUCGUAAACUCCUUUCGAUCGAGACGAAUGGUCUCCGGGUGAACAAUCCGGGGAAAUGACGGUACCGAGAGAAGAAGCCCCGGCUAACUCCGUGCCAGCAGCCGCGGUAAUACGGGGGGGGCAAGCGUUGUUCGGAAUUACUGGGCGUAAAGGGCUCGUAGGCGGCCAACUAAGUCAGACGUGAAAUCUCUGGGCUCAACCCAGAGUCUGCUUCCGAAACUGCUGUGCUUGAGUGUGGGAGAGGCGCGUGGAAUUGCAGGUGUAGCGGUGAAAUGCGUAGAUAUCUGCAGGAACACCCGUGGCGAAAGCGGCGCGCUGGACCACUACUGACGCUGAGGAACGAAAGCUAGGGGAGCAAACAGGAUUAGAUACCCUAGUAGUCC